AACGAACGCUGGCGGCAUGCCUAACACAUGCAAGUCGAACGAGAACCGCGGGUCUAGUGCUGCACGCGUGCGUAACGCGGGGGAACCUGCUAACAGGUUCGGAACAACUCCCCGAGAGGGGUGCAAAAACCGGAAAAGAUCUCUGGUCCAAAGAUUGAUCGCCUUUGGAUGGGGCCGCGUUAGAUUAGCUAGUUGGUAGGGUAAAAGCCUACCAAGGCGACGGGACAUAGCUGGUCUGGGAGGAUGAUCAGGCACACUGGGACUGAGACCAGGCCCAGAACCCCAGGGGAGGCAGCAGGGCGGAAUAUUGGACGCUGGGCGAAAGACGACGCCAGCCGUGCUGCGUGGGUGAUUAAGGCGUUAGGAUUGGAAAGCUCGUUUACCCGGGAUGAGAAUGACGGUACCGGGAGAAUAAGCCCCGGCUAACUCCGUG
rnacentral:rRNA from 1 species